rnacentral:rRNA from 1 species
AGGACGAACGCUGGCGGCGUGCUUAACACAUGCAAGUCGAACGAUGAAACUCUUCGGAGUGGAUUAGUGGCGAACGGGUGAGUAACACGUGGGCAAUCUGCCCUGUACUUUGGGAUAAGCCUUGGAAACGGGGUCUAAUACCGGAUAUCACUUUCCGCCGCAUGGUGGGGGGUUGAAAGUUCUGGCGGUACAGGAUGAGCCCGCGGCCUAUCAGCUUGUUGGUGGGGUAAUGGCCUACCAAGGCGACGACGGGUAGCCGGCCUGAGAGGGUGACCGGCCACACUGGGACUGAGACACGGCCCAGACUCCUACGGGAGGCAGCAGUGGGGAAUAUUGCACAAUGGGCGAAAGCCUGAUGCAGCGACGCCGCGUGAGGGAUGACGGCCUUCGGGUUGUAACCUCUUCGCCAGGGACGAAGCGCAAGUGACGGUACCUGGAUAAGAAGCACCGGCUAACUACGCGCCAGCAGCCGC